UACGAAGGGGGCUAGCGUUGCUCGGAUUGACUGGGCGUAAAGGGCGCGUAGGCGGAUAGUACAGUCAGGCGUGAAAUUCCUGGGCUCAACCUGGGGGCUGCGUUUGAUACGUAUUGUCUGGAGUUCGGAAGAGGGUCGUGGAAUUCCCAGUGUAGAGGUGAAAUUCGUAGAUAUUGGGAAGAACACCGGUGGCGAAGGCGGCGACCUGGUCCGAUGCUGACGCUGAGGCGCGAAAGCCAGGGGAGCGAACGGG
rnacentral:rRNA from 1 species